rnacentral:rRNA from 1 species
AGUCGAGGGGUAUAGUAGCAAUACUAGAGACCGGCGCACGGGUGCGUAACGCGUAUGCAAUCUACCUUUUGCAGAGGGAUAGCCCAGAGAAAUUUGGAUUAAUACCUCAUGGUAUAACGACUCGGCAUCGAGAUGUUAUUAAAGUCACAACGGCAAAAGAUGAGCAUGCGUCCCAUUAGUUAGUUGGUAAGGUAACGGCUUACCAAGACUACGAUGGGUAGGGGUCCUGAGAGGGAGAUCCCCCACACUGGUACUGAGACACGGACCAGACUCCUACGGGAGGCAGCAGUGAGGAAUAUUGGACAAUGGGCGCAAGCCUGAUCCAGCCAUGCCGCGUGCAGGAUGACGGUCCUAUGGAUUGUAAACUGCUUUUGCACAGGAAGAAACAACGCUACGUGUAGCGUCUUGACGGUACUGUGAGAAUAAGGAUCGGCUAACUCCGUGCCAGCAGCCGCGGUAAUACGGAGGAUCCAAGCGUUAUCCGGAAUCAUUGGGUUUAAAGGGUCCGUAGGCGGUCUUAUAAGUCAGUGGUGAAAUCUCCCCGCUCAACGGGGAAACGGCCAUUGAUACUGUAGGACUUGAAUUAUUAGGAAGUAACUAGAAUAUGUAGUGUAGCGGUGAAAUGCUUAGAGAUUACAUGGAAUACCAAUUGCGAAGGCAGGUUACUACUAAUGGAUUGACGCUGAUGGACGAAAGCGUGGGUAGCGAACAGGAUUAGAUACCCUGGUAGUCCACGCCGUAAACGAUGGAUACUAGCUGUUGGGCGCAAGUUCAGUGGCUAAGCGAAAGUGAUAAGUAUCCCACCU